AAAUAUAUACAUUUAUUGACUGUAAUAACGUUGAUACUGUCUGAUCAAAUUCCAGAUCAACAAAGAUAUUAUUGCACAUCAAUGAAUUUCAAUUCAAAAAAUCACAA
rnacentral:sRNA from 1 species